rnacentral:tRNA from 1 species
GCCCCAUUAGCGCAGUCGGUUAGCGCGUCGUACUUAUAAGUGAUUAAGAAAUGCGAAGGUCAGCAGUUCGAGCCUGCUAUGGGGCA